AUGCUGAUAGUAUAUUUAGUACAAUUGCCUUCCAAGCAGAAAGACCAAAAAUGGACAGCAUA
rnacentral:tRNA from 1 species